UACGCAGGGACCGAGCGUUGUCCGGAAUCAUUGGGCGUAAAGAGCGUGUAGGCGGCUUGCUAAGUCUUGCGUGAAAUCUCGGGGCUCAACCCCGAGCGGUCGUGGGAAACUGGCAGGCUAGAGUGCGGGAGAGGAGAAUGGAAUUCCUGGUGUAGCGGUGAAAUGCGCAGAUAUCAGGAAGAACACCCGUGGCGAAGGCGGUUCUCUGGAACGCAACUGACGCUGAGACGCGAAAGCGUGGGGAGCAAACAGG
rnacentral:rRNA from 1 species